rnacentral:rRNA from 1 species
GCUAGCGGCAGGCCUAACACAUGCAAGUCGAACGGUAACAGUCACUUCGGUGGCUGACGAGUGGCGCACGGGUGCGUAACGCGUAUACAAUCUACCUCUUACAGGGGGAUAGCCCAGAGAAAUUUGGAUUAAUACCCCAUGGCAUAUGUUUUCGGCAUCGGAGACAUAUUAAAGAUUCAUCGGUAGGAGAUGAGUAUGCGUUCUAUUAGCUAGUAGGUGCGGUAACGGCGCACCUAGGCCACGAUAGAUAGGGGCCCUGAGAGGGGGAUCCCCCACACUGGUACUGAGACACGGACCAGACUCCUACGGGAGGCAGCAGUGAGGAAUAUUGGACAAUGGGCGAGAGCCUGAUCCAGCCAUGCCGCGUGCAGGAAGACUGCCCUAUGGGUUGUAAACUGCUUUUAUACGGGAAGAAACACUCCCUCGUGAGGGGGCUUGACGGUACCGUAAGAAUAAGGAUCGGCUAACUCCGUGCCAGCAGCCGCGGUAAUACGGAGGAUCCAAGCGUUAUCCGGAAUCAUUGGGUUUAAAGGGUCCGUAGGUGGACGGUAAGUCAGAGGUGAAAUCCUGCAGCUCAACUGUAGAAUUGCCUUUGAUACUGGUCGUCUUGAGUCAUUGUGAAGUGG